UACGGAGGGGGCUAGCGUUGUUCGGAAUUACUGGGCGUAAAGCGCACGUAGGCGGCUUUACAAGUCAGAGGUGAAAGCCUGGAGCUCAACUCCAGAAUUGCCUUUGAGACUGUAUCGCUUGAACACGGGAGAGGUGAGUGGAAUUCCGAGUGUAGAGGUGAAAUUCGUAGAUAUUCGGAAGAACACCAGUGGCGAAGGCGGCUCACUGGACCGUUGUUGACGCUGAGGUGCGAAAGCGUGGGGAGCGAACAGG
rnacentral:rRNA from 1 species